GUUGGGGUUGGUGGCCCACAUUUAUAGACCCUGCUACAGGGGAGGCUGAAGUUGUUGGAUCACUGAAGUUAAGGAGCUCUGACCUGCAGAAGGGCUAAAGCUGAUCAGGUCUCCAUACUAAGUCCAGCACCAAUAUGGUGAGCCCCUGGGAGUGGAGGCCAUCAGGCUGACCAAGGAGCUGGGAACACCCAGUCCAGACAAUAAACAGAGAAGAUUAAAACUCCUGUGCUGAUCAGUAGUAGGACUGGACCUUGAGCUGCACUUGCAGUCUGGUCAAGAUAAGGAGGAAAUGCAGUCUUUU
rnacentral:SRP_RNA from 1 species